AGGUAUUCAUUGAGAACGAUAGUACUGAGCGUGACCACAUCAAGCAGUCAUAAGGAAGUCUACCUUCUCGUCGAUGACUAGCUCGAUGCUGCAGUUGUGUGUCUAGUUCUUUGACCUGAGGUGCAUCGACAGUUCACCUUGAGUGUAUUAUAGUUUGACUACACCAUAACUCGGUCUCCUAGCCAUUCGAAACCCUGAGGUGUAUGUUGGCUGUAGCAUAUUCACUGUAGGAACUAGGUCGCACCAAGAUGGAAUCUAUUAACCUCGGU
rnacentral:lncRNA from 1 species